CCUACGGGAGGCAGCAGUGAGGAAUAUUGGUCAAUGGGCGCAAGCCUGACCCAGCAACGCCGCGUGAAGGAAGAAGGCUUUCGGGUUGUAAACUUCUUUUGUCAGGGACGAAGCAAGUGCCGGUACCUGACGAAUAAGCCUCGGCUAACUACGUGCCAGCAGCCGCGGUAAUACGUAGGUGGCAAGCGUUAUCCGGAUUUACUGGGUGUAAAGGGCGUGUAGGCGGGACUGCAAGUCAGAUGUGAAAACCACGGGCUCAACCUGUGGCCUGCAUUUGAAACUGUAGUUCUUGAGUACGGGGGAGGCAGACGGAAUUCCUAGUGUAGCGGUGAAAUGCGUAGAUAUUAGGAGGAACACCAGUGGCGAAGGCGGUCUGCUGGACAGCAACUGACGCUGAGGCGCGAAAGCGUGGGGAGCAAACAGGAUUAGAUACCCCUGUAGUC
rnacentral:rRNA from 1 species